CGCAGCUACACAUGCAAGUCGAGCGAACCUUCGGGUUAGCGGCGGACGGGUGAGUAACGCGUGGGAACGUACCCUCUUCUGCGGGAUAGCCACUGGAAACGGUGAGUAAUACCGCAUACGCCCUUCGGGGGAAAGAUUUAUCGGAGGAGGAUCGGCCCGCGUUGGAUUAGGUAGUUGGUGGGGUAAUGGCCUACCAAGCCUACGAUCCAUAGCUGGUUUUAGAGGAUGAUCAGCCACACUGGGACUGAGACACGGCCCAGACUCCUACGGGAGGCAGCAGUGGGGAAUCUUAGACAAUGGGCGCAAGCCUGAUCUAGCCAUGCCGCGUGAGUGACGAAGGCCUUAGGGUCGUAAAGCUCUUUCGCCAGAGAUGAUAAUGACAGUAUCUGGUAAAGAAACCCCGGCUAACUCCGUGCCAGCAGCCGCGGUAAUACGGAGGGGGUUAGCGUUGUUCGGAAUUACUGGGCGUAAAGCGCACGUAGGCGGAUUGGAAAGUUGGGGGUGAAAUCCCAGGGCUCAACCCUGGAACUGCCUCCAAAACUCCCAGUCUGGAGUUCGAGAGAGGUGAGUGGAAUUCCGAGUGUAGAGGUGAAAUUCGUAGAUAUUCGGAGGAACACCAGUGGCGAAGGCGGCUCACUGGCUCGAUACUGACGCUGAGGU
rnacentral:rRNA from 1 species